GCUGGUGGUGCGGAGGGGAAGCCUCAGUAAAAAGUGAGAGAUACAUAGGAUUUUCAGAGACACCGGAACAUUGGAAACAACUGUAGGAGGGAGAGGGAACGGUCUGGGACCAGGCCACUGAUUUCUUUGCAGAAUUGUGUGAUCUGUUGGAGGGCUUCGGAGCAGAGGCUCAUCACCAUCACUGAAGGGCUGGGGAGGUUGUUUAGUGGUAGAACACUUGCUUAGCAUGUGAAAGUCCCUCAACUUCUCUCUCUCUCUCUGUCUCUCUGUCUCUCUGUCUCUCUGUCUCUCUGUCUCUCUGUCUGUCUCUCUGUCUUUCUGCCUCUCUCUCUCUCUCUCUCUCUCUCUCUCUCUCUCACACACACACACACACACACACACACACACACACACACACACACACACGGAGCAUCACAACAGAACGAAGUUAACAAGAGCCAGAGGGUGGAGAGUAGUCUAGGUGAGGAAUUGCCCGUGCAGAGCUUGCUCAAGUCUGGCACAGCCCAGUGGAAUAUCUCUGCUAGCCUAGUGAUCCUCACAAGGCAUACAUGGCAUGAGAGGGCCUGGUAGAAGGGCGAAGGUUCCAGAAGGCCUGGCAGAUAGACUGUCAUGCCACAAGCAGACUCAGCCUUCCAAACACUGGCUAUGCAACCCUUGAAAGGCCAGCAGCUUUCAGAGGGAAAGGGUGCCUCAGGCAGUGGGAUGGCCUUUGCUGCCUUCUACAAGGACCUGCGGGUGUCCUGGCAGAGGGAGGAGGUGGCAGAGGCACCAGGUGUUAGGGUACCAGGGCCUCCUGAGAAGAACAGGUGUGAAGCAGAACAAUUAGCCCAGAGGCCGCAGCGGGGGCAGAUGACAUCACCUGCUGGUGAGCAGGCUUCAUUAAGUCUCCAGCACAUGCAGGACCUCGAAGAAACUUGCUUCUUCAAGGAGUCAGAGGACACGGUCACCUCCCCCACGGAGAAGAUCCUCUGUCUUCAUCAUCCCAAAUUGUUGCCCCAGUGUUUCUGCUUAGACAUAUUCAACCUCCCUCAGGCACCUUCUGAGAAACUAUAUCAUGAUGAGAAGGCUUUCUGACUUUAUCAGCUGCCAGCAGAAGGUGCUCCGACAUCGAGGGUGGCUUUCCCUGCUUCAGAUGACUGGUCAGACACACCUUGACAGGGACCGGAGAGAUGGCUGGGCAGCGAAGAGUACAAACCACACGUGCAAGGACUUGAGUUCUGUUCCCAGUGCUCACAUCUGAUGGCUCACAACCACCUAUAACUCUAGCUCCAGGGGAACCCAAGGCAUUUGGUCUCCCGAAGGCCUCUACACUGGUGGGCAAAAGCCCACAUUCGCAUUCAUAUAUACAUCAUUUAAAACACAGUAAAUCUUUAUUUUUAAAUGAAAAAUAAAAAUCACACCGCAGGAAUGCCAA